GCAGACACAAACAGAAACAGCCGGAGAGAGGAGGGGGAACCGGAGAGAGAGAGAGAGAGGAGAAGCCAAAUCUCGGCUGCGAUUGUGGCCGGCGAGAUGGAGGCGGAGUGGUGGGAGUGGGACGGGACGGUCCUGCAGGACGCCGCGGAGAUGGACGAGCCCGGAAGGGUGGGGCUCGCCGCCGGGCUGCUCGACGUGAACCCAGGCCGCGGCCAGGAGAGGUUCGAGAGGGAGUGGGAGCAGAUGGAGGACGAGAUCUACCGCCAGGUGCUCGCCAUCGGCUCCUUCGCGAGGCUGGAUAAUGAUGAGGAUGGACGUAGGGAAUUCGGCCGUCAAACCGCACUGCACACCUAUCUUGGCGACGUUGAUGAUAUACCGGGCAGAAAAGCUACUCUCUUAGAAGCUGGUUCGAUCCUCAGCCUGCCAAUGCUCUUUCUUCACGGUGUCGUCCUGUUUCCUGGAGCUACCUUGCCUCUGAAACUAAUUGAGGCUAGGUUUGUGGCAGCUGUCGAGAAGGCUUUAAGGCGUGAUGAUGCCCCGGGCACAAUAGGCGUGGUUCUCAUGCACGGACGGCCAAAUCAUCGAAACUAUGCUAAUGCUUCAGUUGGAACCACAGCAGAGAUACGGCAACUUGGACGGUCGGAUGAUGGUUCAAUAAAUGUUAAAGCACGUGGUCAGCAACGAUUUCGUCUGAUCCGUUACUGGUCGGAUGUUGAUGGGGUGGUGUGGGGUGAGGUUCAAAUCAUUGAGGAAGAUCCUCCACUAAGAACUCCAAGAGGUGCAUUUGCACAGCUAGCUGCAUCUAGGAGCUGCCGGCUGCAUACUUCUUCACCAGUUAUGAGCUUGGAUGUGCCACCAAUGAAACAACAGGGCCUUAUGGAUUCAGGCCUAGAUUGUGAUACUCCUGCAAGUGAUUCAAGUUCACAGUCUAGCAAUUCAACGAAGCCUUCUGGUCAGUCAGGCGAGAAUACCAACAUGGAUGAGGAGGAUUAUAUUUGCUCGACACCCUCGAGCUCAAGAACAGAUACAAAGCACCAGCACCAGUACAAUGCUGCUAAUUACUCGAAGAAGCCUCUUCAGGCAUCAUUGGCCUUUUGGCCUCAAUGGGCUUAUGAAAUGUAUGACCCAUAUUCACUUGCCUGUAGAGCUGCUGAUUUGUGGAGACUGAUAAUCAAAACGCCAAGCAUUGAUGAGCUUGUAAAAAAGCCAGAUCUUUUGUCAUUUUACAUCGGAAACCAGCUUCCAGUAUCGGAACCUGUGAGACAAAAAUUGCUGGAGAUUAAUGGGGUUUCGUAUCGCCUACGAAGGGAGAUCCAGCUUCUAAAGGCCUGUGAUCUCAUAAAAUGUGGAUACUGCAAGUCUGAAAUAGCAAAGCACAGUGAUGUGGUGGUGAUGUCUAGCGAUGGGCCUCUCGGUACUUACGUCAACAAUCAUGGGUACGUGCAUGCAACGAUUACUGUGAACAAUGCAACGGGGCUUGCUCUCGAGGGGGAACCCACAGAAGAACACAGCUGGUUUCCAGGAUACGCUUGGACUAUCGCGUCGUGCGUGCCCUGCGGUUCCAACAUAGGCUGGCGGUUCAGUACCACCAAGAGGCAUCUGCACCCGAAAUCCUUCUGGGGGAUCCGCAGCUCCCAGAUCGCGGAUGUUGUAGAUGUAGAACAACAGCAGGAGGAAGAAUGAUAUGCCGCCCUCCGUGUACAGCCAACCCUGCCUUGACUUGUGUCGUCUUCUUCCGUUUCCGCAGACAUAGAACCUCUCUUGUUUUUCUAGCCUAGCCCCAUAUAUACCCGCCUUUCGCCCUCAGAGUGGUAGCCAGUGAAGUUCCUGGGAGACUAGCGAACCUAUCUUCUUGACUGUGUUGUGUGUACCGUAGUCCGUUUCAGAAAUUUUCUGAGAUGCACCUAGGCUGGAUAAUAAGUUUUCCGGAUGCUAAACAAAGCAUGCCUGUGGAAGUCUGUCUGUACUUAAAUAAGUGCGUUAUGUUGGAAAAAGAAGUCUAGCUCCAUUUGAGAUGAUGAUGCUUGGAAAUGUCAAAUGUGGCUGCUGUGCAGAUCUGGGCAAGUGCGUGCGGCUUCGUGGAGAAGAAAGUAUAAAGGCUGCACUUGCCAUACCCUGUACGGUAAUGCAGUAGAGUAUAUAUCGGUGUAGUGGGGAAGUGGCCCUGAUACCUGAGUGAAUGAGUGGUAGCUCCACAAUUUACCCCAUCACCAUGCUUGGUAGCACCGAGCUGGAUGGAUGCAGCAGGGUCGCCGGCCCAGCUGAGCUAGCGCAAGUGGGGAGUAGCCAAUGCAUAUGGAGCGUGUAGUGUCGGUUUGCUCCAGCCAGUAUCUAUGGAACCGGUAGCGAUUCGGCCGGUAUUGCAAUACCGCUUUUCCUUCUGUAAAAGCGAGAGAGACCUGACGCUCACGGGCGGCACAAGCUGACAGUAGGAGAGAGGGGGAACCAACAGUGACAGAGAAUGUGCGCUUCCCUGCGCCUGCAUGUUGAUUGCAUUUACGGACGCACAGAGAUCACUUGAUUGACGCUACUAAUACGAGGUAUGGGUGGCUGUAAUAUAACUGUGUAAAGCUGCAAGGAUGGUGCAGACUGUACUUGAUGGCGAGCAUGCCCAAUUGCUCAAUUGCCUACUCACUCAUUCCCGUACGACUUUUAUGUAUGGUUGGUUGGGAAUCGACGCGCAUGCAAUGCAGCGCAGCUCGGUCGACGCCGGGCAACCCACCAGCGCUGGAUAUCUUCUUCCCGGAAGUGGAAAUGCUGGCAAAUCCGUUUCAGAAAACACUGUUUUCGGUCAUUAUAUAGUUUAUUACUGGAAGAAAAGGUGUGUCUACUAGCAGCGCUCAUCACCCACGAGAGCCACGUCGGAGGUCGUGAUGCCGCCACGGAAUGGAACCAGGGUGCGUGGCAACACUGCUCAAAACAAAGUAAACCACGGGGCCGCGGUUAGCCACCGUAAGUACGUACAAGGCUGGUUUGCCUUUCCGGAUAGGACACUGGGAGACAGAGGCGAACGAAGGGCAAGACGAAGACGAACGAGCGCACAUGCAUGUGGUGCAUGCACCCCCGUGGCCGCCGCGCACAGCACAAGCGCCGCUCUGCUAGAUGCGCGCGCACGCCCACGCCCACACUAGAGCCAACCAGCACGAACAGCGGGCUCUGCUCCUGCUCGUGCUCGUGAGCUGUGUCAUUCCAUCGUUCCUUCGGAACAGGGCGCCCGUGAUCUCCUUAAAUUCCCCCCGCUCCCCGAUUAAACCUGACACACCCCCUUGUAGCCUUGCACCCAGCUAGCUGCCGGUGAGGUGAGUGACCACCGCGACAGCCAACAGCACCCAUCGGCUGCUGCCAUUGGCGUACGUGCGUGCAGCGCAUUGUCGCGGCAAUGGCGGUGUCGGCGUCGUCGUCGGGGGUGCGGGCGCGGGCGAGGUUGCUGGCGUGCGUGGCCGUGGCGGCGCUGCUGCUGCUCGCGCCGGGCGACGUGGACGCCGGCCGGCAUGGGCACGGGCGGGGGCGGGGGCGCGGGAGCGGGAGCGUGGCACACAGGCAUACCAAGGGCCUGCGGCCGGGGAAGGCGAUGGCGGCGAGGCCGUACCCGGCGAACGCGACGGCGGCGGAGGCGAUCGAGCGGAGGUUCACGCGGUGGGUGUGGUUCAUGGGCGGGCUUGACCACAGCGUGUUCCAGCGCGCGCUCAACCGCGCGCUGCUCCCGUCGACUCGCACGAUCGUCGUGGACAGGACGCCCGGGGCGGGAGACUUCACCACCAUCCAGGCCGCCGUGGACUCGCUCCCGCUCAUCAACCUGAUGCGCGUCGUCAUCAAGGUCAAUGCCGGCACCUACACGUACGGAGAAGGUGAGCAUCUCGCCGCUGCGCGGGUUCGUGACGGUGGAGGGCGCGGGCGCGGACCGGACGGUGGUGCAGUGGGGCGACACGGCGGACACGGCCGGGCCCUGGGGCCGCCCCUUCGGCACCUUCGCCUCCGCCACCUUCGCCGUCAACUCGCAGUUCUUCGUCGCCAAGAACAUCACCUUCAAGAACACGGCGCCGGUGCCUCGGCCGGGCGCGCUGGGGAAGCAGGGGGUGGCGCUGCGGAUAUCGGCGGACAACGCGGCGUUCGUGGGGUGCAACUUCCUGGGCGCGCAGGACACGCUGUAUGACCACCUGGGCCGCCACUACUACAAGGACUGCUACAUCGAGGGCUCCGUCGACUUCAUCUUCGGCAACGCCCUCUCCCUCUACGAGGGUUGCCACGUGCACGCGAUCUCGCCGCACUACGGGGCGCUGACGGCGCAGAACCGGCGGAGCAUGCUGGACGACACGGGGUUCUCCUUCCUCAACUGCCGGGUGACGGGGUCGGGGGCGCUCUACCUGGGCCGCGCCUGGGGCACCUUCUCCCGCGUCGUCUUCGCCUACACCUACAUGGACAACAUCAUCAUCCCCCGCGGCUGGUACAACUGGGGCGACCCAACGCGAGAGAUGACGGUGUUCUACGGGCAGUACAAGUGCUCGGGGCCGGGGGCCAACCACGCCGGCAGGGUGGACUGGUCCCGGGAGCUCACCGACGAGGAGGCCAAGCCAUUCAUCUCCCUCAGCUUCAUCGACGGCCUCGAGUGGCUCAGGUUGUAGCAGCGGCCGGAUCCAGGCAGGGGCAACCGCAAGUUAAUGAGUAAUGACUAGCAGCAGAGUAACUUGGUUUGGCUGCAGCAUUUGCAGCUGAAUCCAUGACGAGCACGCAUGGCCAUCUCCGGCCUCCGGCUCCUUUUUUUUUUGGCUUUUAGAAGUGGGAUGUGAAUCACACCACAUCGGUUCGUUUUAACAGUUGUUGUGAGCUCUGACGAACACAGCAAACAGUGGCAUGCACCUUGUGUUCUCUGUCCAGUGAUACUUGUGAUUUUUUGUAAGAAAAAAACAGUCGUGACGAGAAAGACUCAAAAGAGACACACUAGUGCAGAACCGGGCAAUAGCAUCGGUUCGUAAGGCCCUUUAGUGUCGG
rnacentral:rRNA from 1 species